rnacentral:rRNA from 1 species
GACGAACGCUGGCGGCGUGCUUAACACAUGCAAGUCGAACGAUGAAGCCGGAGAUUGCUCCGGUGGAUUAGUGGCGAACGGGUGAGUACCACUUGAGCAUUCUGCCUUUGACCCUGGGAUAAUUGCGGGAAACUGUAGCUAAUACCGGAUACGACACCUUGGGCCAUCCCAGGGGGUGGAAAGAAUUUGGGUCAAGGAUGGGCGAACGGCCUAUCAGCCAGUUGGGGGGGAAAGGGCCAACAAAGCCGACGACGGGUAGCCGGCUGGAGAGGGUGACCGGCCACACUGGAAUGGAGACCCGGUCCGGCCUCCUAGGGGGGGAAGCAGUGGGGAAUAUUGCACAAUGGGCGAAAGCCUGAGGCAGCAACGCCGCGGGGGGGAUGAAGGCCUUCGGGUUGUAAACCUCUUUUAGCAAGGAAGAAGCGAAAGUGACGGUACUUGCAGAAAAAGCGCCGGCUAACUAGGUGCAAGCCGCCACCGUAA